CGACUGAGAACUGCAAGUCUGCAACCAUAUAUAGAAAUCAAGAGAAAUCAAAGUGUGAUAGCUAGCCUUAACUCUGCUCAUGGCUCUUCUGAAGUGCAAUGGCUCAAGGGCUUCGUCCCUAGUGACCCUCCUGCUGAUUGCAGCUCUGCUCUUUCCAGCUGUUUGCUACGCACAUGUUGAGGCGAAGACAGUGUGCCAGAAGACGGAAUACGGGUGCACGCAGGAGAAAUGCCACCAGAUGUGCCUGGGUGACGGCCGGACGGUAGCAUCUCAGUAUUGCAGGCAUUAUGAUACCCAAUGCUGUUGCACUUAUGAGCUUCAAGCAAAUGACAACGAUAAGAUGGAUGAUGGCCGGCUUCAUGCUUAGUUAAUUAGAAUAUCGCCAAUUUAUCUCCUGCAUGUUUUACUAGCUAUGCGUAGAUCUGCGUGAUGCAGAUCCAAUAAAGUUGGUAUAUAUGGUUAAUCCUAGAAAAAAUAAUGUUGGUCUUGUUGUCAAGGAGUUAAUUUCAUGAUCAAUGCACAACUACCUCCCUAAAAAAAAAACAAUCAUCGUGUGUUCAGGUUCAUUGUUAA